UACGGAGGGUGCAAGCGUUAUCCGGAUUCACUGGGUUUAAAGGGUGCGUAGGCGGGCAGAUAGGUCAGUGGUGAAAUACCUGAGCUUAACUUGGGAACUGCCAUUGAUACUAUUUGUCUUGAAUGUUGUGGAGGUUAGCGGAAUAUGUCAUGUAGCGGUGAAAUGCUUAGAGAUGACAUAGAACACCUAUUGCGAAGGCAGCUAACUACGCAAAUAUUGACGCUGAGGCACGAAAGCGUGGGGAUCAAACGGG
rnacentral:rRNA from 1 species